AAUAUUGGACAAUGGGCGAAAGCCUGAUCCAGCCAUGCCGCGUGUGUGAAGAAGGCCUUUUGGUUGUAAAGCACUUUAAGCAGUGAAGAAGACUCCAUGGUUAAUACCCAUGGACGAUGACAUUCGCUUCAGAAUAAGCACCGGCUAACUCUGUGCCAGCAGCCGCGGUAAUACAGAGGGUGCAAGCGUUAAUCGGAAUUACUGGGCGUAAAGCGAGCGUAGGUGACUUGAUAAGUCGGAUGUGAAAUCCCCGGGCUUAACCUGGGAACUGCAUCUGAUACUGUUAGGCUAGAAUAGGUGAGAGGAAGGUAGAAUUCCAGGUGUAGCGGUGAAAUGCGUAGAGAUCUGGAGGAAUACCGAUGGCGAAGGCAGCCCCCUGGGAUAAUACUGACGCUCAUGCACGAAAGCGUGGGUAGCAAAC
rnacentral:rRNA from 1 species